UACGAAGGGGACUAGCGUUGUUCGGAAUCACUGGGCGUAAAGCGCACGUAGGCGGAUGUGUCAGUCAGGGGUGAAAUCCCCGGGGCUCAACCUCGGAACUGCCUUUGAUACAGCACGUCUCGAGUCCGGAAGAGGUGGGUGGAAUUCCUAGUGUAGAGGUGAAAUUCGUAGAUAUUCGGAAGAACACCAGUGGCGAAGGCGGCACUCUGGGCCGGUACUGACGCUGAGGAGCGAAAGCGUGGGGAGCGAACAGG
rnacentral:rRNA from 1 species